AUCGCUUCUCGGCCUUUUGGCUAAGAUCAAGUGUAAAGUUCCAUACUAUUCUAUUGUUUAAAUACAUAAUUUUUUAAACCCAGUAUCUUAUUAGGUAUUUGGAUUAUUUCCAGGUUCUACCCAAUUAACAAGUCUAUAGUAAAUAUC
rnacentral:snRNA from 1 species